CUCCUUGGAGGUGAAUCGAACCCCGUCUCCCUCUUAACAAGCCGGGAUACUGACCACUAUACUAGCGAGGA